rnacentral:rRNA from 1 species
GAGACAGCAGCAGCCGCGGUAAUACAGAGGAUGCAAGCGUUAUCCGGAAUGAUUGGGCGUAAAGCGUCUGUAGGUGGCUUUUCAAAUCAGUCGUCAAAUCCCUGGGCUCAACCCUGGACAAGCAGUGGAAACUACCAAGCUGGAGUAUAGUAGGGGCAGAGUGAAUUUCCGGUGGAGCGAUGAAACGCGCUGAGAUCAGAAAGAACACCAACGGCGAAAGCACUCUGCUGGGCCGACACUGACACUGAGAGACGAAAGCUAGGGGAGCAAAUGGGAUUAGAUACCCCCGUAGUCCCUGUCUCUUAUAA